UACGAAGGGGGCUAGCGUUGUUCGGAAUCACUGGGCGUAAAGGGCGCGUAGGCGGCUGUUCAAGUCGGGGGUGAAAUCCUGGAGCUCAACUCCAGAACUGCCUUUGAUACUGGGAGUCUCGAGUCCGGGAGAGGUGAGUGGAACUGCGAGUGUAGAGGUGAAAUUCGUAGAUAUUCGCAAGAACACCAGUGGCGAAGGCGGCUCACUGGCCCGGUACUGACGCUGAGGUGCGAAAGCGUGGGGAGCAAACAGG
rnacentral:rRNA from 1 species